rnacentral:rRNA from 1 species
CCCUUAGAUGUCCUGGGCCGCACGCGCGCUACACUGAUGCAUUCAACGAGUAUUUCCUUGGCCGAGAGGCCUGGGCAAUCUUUUAAACCUGCAUCGUGAUAGGGAUAGAUUAUUGCAAUUAUUAAUCUUGAACGAGGAAUUCCUAGUAAACGCAAAUCAUCAAUUUACAUUGAUUACGUCCCUGCCCUUUGUACACACCGCCCGUCGCACCUACCGAUUGAAUGGUCCGGUGAAAUCUCGGGAUUGUGGCCAGUUCACUUUAUUGGGAGUUGGCUGCGAGAACUUGCUUAAACCUUAUCAUUUAGAGGAAGGUGAAGUCGUAACA